rnacentral:rRNA from 1 species
GAUAAGCGCUGGCGGCGUGCUUAACACAUGCAAGUCGAACGAAGUUUUUCUUUCGGGAGGAACUUAGUGGCGGACGGGUGAGUAACGCGUGGGUAACCUGCCCUGUACAGGGGGACAACAGCUGGAAACGGCUGCUAAUACCGCAUAAGCCCUUAGCACUGCAUGGUGCAUAGGGAAAAGGAGCAAUCCGGUACAGGAUGGACCCGCGUCUGAUUAGCCAGUUGGCAGGGUAACGGCCUACCAAAGCGACGAUCAGUAGCCGAUCUGAGAGGAUGUACGGCCACAUUGGGACUGAGACACGGCCCAGACUCCUACGGGAGGCAGCAGUGGGGAAUAUUGCACAAUGGAGGAAACUCUGAUGCAGCGACGCCGCGUGAGUGAAGAAGUAUUUCGGUAUGUAAAGCUCUAUCAGCAGGAAAGAAAAUGACGGUACCUGACUAAGAAGCACCGGCUAAAUACGUG